rnacentral:rRNA from 1 species
UCCGUAGGGUGACCUGCGGAGGGAUCAUUAUAGAGUUUUCUAAACUCCCAACCCAUGUGAACUUACCUUUUGUUGCCUCGGCAGAAGUUAUAGGUCUUCUUAUAGCUGCUGCCGGUGGACCAUUAAACUCUUGUUAUUUUAUGUAAUCUGAGCGUCUUAUUUUAAUAAGUCAAAACUUUCAACAACGGAUCUCUUGGUUCUGGCAUCGAUGAAGAACGCAGCGAAAUGCGAUAAGUAAUGUGAAUUGCAGAAUUCAGUGAAUCAUCGAAUCUUUGAACGCACAUUGCGCCCAUUAGUAUUCUAGUGGGCAUGCCUGUUCGAGCGUCAUUUCAACCCUUAAGCCUAGCUUAGUGUUGGGAAUCUACUUCUCUUAGGAGUUGUAGUUCCUGAAAUACAACGGCGGAUUUGUAGUAUCCUCUGAGCGUAGUAAUUUUUUUCUCGCUUUUGUUAGGUGCUAUAACUCCCAGCCGCUAAACCCCCAAUUUUUUGUGGUUGACCUCGGAUCAGGUAGGAAUACCCGCUGAACUUAAGCAUAUCAAUAAGACGGAGGAA